rnacentral:rRNA from 1 species
UACGUAGGGUCCGAGCGUUGUCCGGAGUUACUGGGCGUAAAGCGCGCGCAGGCGGCGGUGCUGGCCCGGCGUGAAAGCCCCCGGCUCAACCGGGGAGAGUCGUCGGGGACCGCACCGCUUGAGGGCGGUAGGGGCUGGUGGAAUGCCUGGUGUAGUGGUGAAAUGCGUAGAGAUCAGGCAGAACACCUGGGGCGAAGGCGGCCAGCUGGGCCGUCCCUGACGCUGAGGCGCGAAAGCCAGGGGAGCGAACGGG